AAUUGUUGGUUUCUUCUAUUAUUUGAUGAAACACAGCAGGUCUAUUCUAUUGAGCUUGAAGGUAAUUUGUCCGUCACAAAGUUUGUCCCAAGGAAUUUUUUCUGAAUUCUCAAUUUCACAAAAUUAAGAAUAAUUUUGAGAUAAUCAAACGAACUGUUCACCAAUCCGAUUGAAUACACUCAAACGAACAAAUUGGUAGUUCAGAGUUCUUCAAAAUUUCCAUUACAUCGAUCAGAAUCCAUUGAUUUCUUCAUCAUAUCUAUAGAAAAAGCAGAGAAAUUUCAUAAGAUACUUUUAAGGAGAUUAUUACAAUUCUUAUACCCAUUGCAUUGAUGCUGAUGCUUGAUGGGAAUGGUGAAGAUACAUUAUUGGCCGAUUGUGAAGUUAAUCUGAAGAACCUCAAUUUGCUGGGAAUGGAGUUGAUGUUUUAGUUCACGACUCUACUACUGCUAAACAACUUCUGGUAUUCGUAUUAAUCUUUAAAUUUGUUAUUUCAUUUGUAGAGUUACAAGGAACCGUCAUAUGUCUUUUGCAUCAGGUAAUGUAUUUUGACUUUACAGUUGAAUAAAAAAGUGGUAUUUUCUGUUAUGUACUACUAAACUAUGCAUCAUAUUAAACUUCGUUUUAGUUACCCAAUCUGGAAGUAACUUUUGUUGUUUUCAAUUGUCGAUGGGCGAUUCAUUGGCCUUGUAGUUUACUAACUAUUUUCUUGUGAUGAAAACUGAAGGGCUAAAUUUACAUUUUGUUUGCAGUCUGAAGUCACUGCUCUAAAGAUCUACACCCACGGCAGGAGAAAAUGGUGUUGUAGAAAAUGGUUGUUCAGUCCCUGAAGCUGCUGCUUCAAGGGUGGAAGCUUUUUCAAGACUCUUAACUUCUUCCAAUUUUUGUUAGACUACAAAGAUUCAAGACAGUUCAGGGUCUUUCCGUUGGGAUCCUUUUUUUGCGCUGCAGAAAUCUGACACCUUCUUAACCAUGUUUUUGCUGCUGUCAUGUCGUUGGUUGAUCUAGUGGAAGGAAAUCUUGAUAACAUUAUCGCACAUCUUCUGUGGUUCGUAUGCUAGCGGAAUGUGUUGGACUUCUUUGGUUUGAGACCUGGGGAACAUGGGCAUUGUUGGGAAUGAGGCUUGACAUGAUUUAUCAGGAGGUAUUAUAUACCCGUAAAACCUUACAUGUAUAAACAGUGGUAUGAUAAAUGUGCAAGAAAUUUAUAGGUGACUUGGGUUUCGCACAAUUUUAUGAGCAGUGUCAAGCAGAAAAUGGAGUGCAUACCAUGUAAGAGUUUGAUGGAAUUGUCCAACAUUUGUUUCUUCGUCGGCCUCCCACUGCUGCAGCAGUCAUCUAGUUAUGUUUACUUGUGAAUUUCUGAUUUUUCUUUUGUUUGUUUCCCUUUUUGGUAAGGGGAUGGGACAGAGAUAACAAUCGUUGUUGUGCAACAUCAUUUCCUUCAAUUGGCUUGAGCUGCGAAUGUUUUCAAGGUUUAACAAAACUGAACUUUUGUGUUUCCGUUGUUGGUUCCUUUUCACUAUGUGGUUCGCUUUUGAUAAAUUAGUUCAUCACUCUAACAAUGCUUACUGAGGAUAAUGUUCCAUGAAAAUAUUUUGAAUUCUAACUAAUUUCAAUUCAAACUGUUAUGAGAAGUUGGGAACAGGGCUGAGCAUAUCUUAUUAAAAAUUAAUCCAUUCUUGAUGGCUACAUUUCCCCUUCUGUCAUGUGGAUAUUUUUGUAGUUCAUAUCAAGAGGUAUGUCUAACUACAUUCCUCAUAUCUUCUCCAUUCCUCACAAAAGUAUACCUAUUGCUAGACAAGAUUUUAUGUGGUUCUGUACAAGUCCUAAUAAAAGAAGUUACAUGUACAAGCCCUUGUUGAUUUUAUAUGGUUGUGUACAAGUCCUCAGAUAAAAAAAGUUACCUGUACAAGUUAGCAGCAGCAAAGGCGUUGUAACAAAUCCAUUUGUGCGUUUAUAUUUUCCUUCUUUUCAAAUUUGCAGUUUUGAGUUGUUGCUUUGCUUUAUCUUUUACUAUAAUCUCACAAGUCUUAUAUUAAUACUAAAUUAAUUGAGGACAUUAUGAAAAUCAUAAAGAGGACACACUCGUUGAGGAAAGCUGGAUAAAAUUCUUGUGAAAAUGGGUAUAUACACAUUCACCAGCUAGUCUUUUGUUUUUCACUCAUAAUCAGUGUACUCGUACUACGUUAAUGAUCCAUAUAUGUUUAAAUGGUACAAAAAAAAAUAUUAAAAGAAUCUAGUUCCUAGGCCUCUUGCAGUUAGCGCUGAUUGGUGGUUCUGCUAGUUGUUAGAAUUUUUAUUAGGAAUGAAAAACAAGAUCCAGCAAAGAACUGAAUAUUUGUUUGAAUGAAGUGCUAUUGUAGAAGCGAAGUUCCUAACUAUUUAAACAGAAUAAACCACCCUUGGAACAAUUUCUAGAUCUAAAUCACUUUCUAAAUGCUGUGUCAGGUAAUGGAACAUGUUGUUGGAGUUCUUGCAGGCUUGUUAAAAGGUGGGGAUGAGUAACUGGUCAGUGAAUUCCGUAGUAAAGCAUGAAGCCUUCACUAUUUCAAAAGAAGGAAAGGAAGAGGAAGACCUUCGUUAACAUCUGCAGAUGUAGACCCCUCUGCUGCACCACAUCCUAAAUAGUAUAUGGAUCCGUUAGUGAUUCGCAUUGCUGGGCUGUAAAAGAAUGCAAGGAAAGGAUAUAGUCGUGUGGUUAGGUAUAUGCACUGAUGGACCAGGUCACUAUUAAGACAAUUGUAAUUAAGUUAAUUGUCAUGGAGUGAUGGUCUAAACUGCGUUGUGAUGGUAUGAUAUUGUAAAUUAUAGUGCAAAUGCAAUCUUCGUUUCCGUUGGUUUUCAGCAACUCUUAUACUUGUAGCUUAUACACUUCUUUGACUUGUACCCACUUUCAAUGAAUACAAUGGUUUUUG